GCGCUAGUGGCGGAACUGGUAGACGCGCUGGAUUUAGGUUCCAGUGCCGAGAGGCGUGGGGGUUCAAGUCCCUCCUGGCGCACCA
rnacentral:tRNA from 1 species